rnacentral:rRNA from 1 species
UACGUAGGGGGCAAGCGUUGUCCGGAAUCACUGGGCGUAAAGCGCACGUAGGCGGAUUGCUAAGUCAGGGGUGAAAUCCUGGAGCUCAACUCCAGAACUGCCUUUGAUACUGGUGAUCUUGAGUCCGGGAGAGGUGAGUGGAACUGCGAGUGUAGAGGUGAAAUUCGUAGAUAUUCGCAAGAACACCAGUGGCGAAGGCGGCUCACUGGCCCGGUACUGACGCUGAGGUGCGAAAGCGUGGGGAGCAAACAGG